rnacentral:rRNA from 1 species
AUUGAACGCUGGCGGCAGGCCUAACACAUGCAAGUCGAGCGAGCGGCGGACGGGUGAGUAAUGUCUGGGAAACUGCCUGAUGGAGGGGGAUAACUACUGGAAACGGUAGCUAAUACCGCAUACCAUCAGAUGUGCCCAGAUGGGAUUGUCUGGUGGGUGGGGUAUCGGCUCACCUGGUCGACGAUCCCUAGCUGGUCUGAGAGGAUGACCAGCCACACUGGAACUGAGAAACGGUCCAGACUCCUACGCGAGGCAGCAGUGGGGAAUAUUGCACCAUGGGCGCAAGCCUGAUGCGGCCAUGCCGCGUGUGUGAAGAAGGCCUGCGGGUUGUAAAGCACUGUCAGCGGGGAGGCGUUACACGCAGAAGAAGCACCGGCUAACCCCGUGCCAGCAGCCGCGGUAAUUC